rnacentral:lncRNA from 1 species
GAGAGAGCCAAAGGCUGGUUUGUUUUCGAACAAACACACCAUACCACGGAGAUCCAAAAUGAGCAUGCGCAGUUCAAACUGGCCAGCCGAAAAGGGGGAUAUGUAGGAGAAAGCUUUUGGGGCAAGUCUUUUUAGUGUUCAGAAGUUGUUUGAACAGCCUUGGAAAAAAUGUACUUUCCUCCCACAGGGGAAGAGAUUACGGGACAAUGCUUUCAAUUUCGCGGAAUUUAAGAAGCAGGUAAACGCCUUGAGCCAGGGCGGGUGACAGUUACGGAAGAAGGAGAAGCCUGGAGUCCCACAGGACUUUGAUCUACCCCAAACCUAUUGCCACCUCCUGUGUUACUGGAG